UAAUUGAAGAGUUUGAUCAUGGCUCAGAUUGAACGCUGGCGGCAGGCCUAACACAUGCAAGUCGAGCGGCAGCACAGAGGAACUUGUUCCUUGGGUGGCGAGCGGCGGACGGGUGAGUAAUGCCUGGGAAAUUGCCCGGUAGAGGGGGGAUAACCAUUGGAAACGAUGGCUAAUACCGCAUAACCUCGCAAGAGCAAAGCAGGGGACCUUCGGGCCUUGCGCUACCGGAUAUGCCCAGGUGGGAUUAGCUAGUUGGUGAGGUAAGGGCUCACCAAGGCGACGAUCCCUAGCUGGUCUGAGAGGAUGAUCAGCCACACUGGAACUGAGACACGGUCCAGACUCCUACGGGAGGCAGCAGUGGGGAAUAUUGCACAAUGGGCGCAAGCCUGAUGCAGCCAUGCCGCGUGUAUGAAGAAGGCCUUCGGGUUGUAAAGUACUUUCAGUAGG
rnacentral:rRNA from 1 species